rnacentral:lncRNA from 1 species
GCUUCUGUUGGGAACUUCAUUGCCAGGUAUCUGAUACUGGUGACGGCCUCAAAGUCAAACAGCGCAGGUCUUCCCAGGAUCGCGUUGUAGCUCAGAGAAAGUUUGACUACCAGGAACAUCGCAUAAUGGGUGCGAGUCCUCGGUGCUUCUCCUAGGGUGAGGGCCAGCUUCACCUUCCCUUCUACGGGUACUGGGACUCCUCCG